AGUGUUCUCCAUUUUGGAUGAAAAGAUGAAAAGCUGUCAGAAGAAGUUUUUUGACAUUUUGAGAAACCGAACUGAGAAUCUGGAGGAAGCUCACACAGGGGGCGAAAGUGACAUUAUUCUAGUUUUCUGUCCUAUUGUUUCUCGAGCUGGAACUGACAUUGAAGCUGCACUGAAGAAUUGUGUUUUACUCUACAGAUUCUAAGCUAACUGUUCUAGUGGUGCUUCAUCACACGUUUGACCCAGAGAAAAUAGUCCCAGACAGCAGCAGAUCUGUCAAGAGGACAGACAUACUCACAGUGGACUGUCUGUUCUAUGAGGAUACAGGAUUACUGAAGUGUCAGAAGAAUUUAGAUUCCACUGAAAAAACUGUGAACUGGUUAAUACAGCAGGGGGCAAAAAUAGGCAAAACAAUAUCACCAAGUCAACAUGAAUCAUCUGCCUCUUCAGGUGUAAUUUCAUAUUUGAGAAAGUUUAGAGCAUAGCAGAAUGACACUGAGGAUCGCUUCAUCGACCAUUCAGAAAGAUCCUGUGACAACUACAUACCUCGACUCUUCACAGUUGAGAUCUACUUGAGCUUGUGUCUAUCAAAUACAAAUGUUUUCAGCAAGUGCUUAAAAAAAUGCAAUAAUUUAAUCAGUUAGUUAUUAUCCAGUUUAUUCCAGCCACAGUGAACUAAAAACAGAAGUCUUUGUUUUAUUAGGGUAAGGGUUAGGGUAUUUACAAAAGCCUAGCAUGUUGACAGGCAUUUACAAACCAUUAUACUGAAUAGUUCUAUUGGCUACUAAUGUACGCAAAUAAAUGACCUGAUAAUGAGUGUACAAAGCAGUAAAACUCUCCUUGCUGCAUGACAAAGCCCAUAUAUGAUAAUAAACUAAUGUUCAGUUCUUCUGUCUAAUUCCUUACAUUUAUGCAGAGGCAAAUAUAACUAUGUAACAAAUGAACAAAAUUUCUGUGUAUUUAAUUAAGAGAUUUUCAAUUAAUUGUUUCUUUGCUGGUGUAAAUGAAUCAUACUGCAUUUAAUCUGCAUGUUGUAUUGAUAGAUUUUGUCUGCUACUAUGCCUUUACUCUAAAUCUUAUCCUGUAAAAAGAAAAAUACUUAUAAUUACAAAUCAUAGUAAAUUUGGUGUAAAACUGUAAA